rnacentral:tRNA from 1 species
UCCCUGGUGGUCCAGUGAUGAGGACUCCGUGCUUUCACUGCCGAGGGCCUGGGUUCAAUCCCUGGUCAGGGAA